UCUCAAUUAAUUUUUUUUGCCGCUCUCCAUCUCUCGACCUCUCUCAACCUCUAUCGUCUCCCUAGCUCUGAAAGACAAGAUUCCUCGUCUUCACAAAGUCGACGGCGACGAGUACGGCUACGGCGCGCCAUCGCUCGCUCUCUCUCUCAAGCUCUCACCCUCUCUCUCUCUCUCUCUCUCUCUCUCUCUCUCUCUCUCUAGCCCGACCUCACUCUCUCUCUGUCUCGCUCAACCUCACCCUUUCUCUAUCUGACUCGAGCUCGACCACCUCACCUUCUCUCUCUGUCUCGGCCUGACUCUUCUCUCUCUGGCUCGACAGCACCGAAGACUUUUCAUAGAAAACGACCAUGUAGGAAUGAGAAAAUCUGAGAAUGCAAGUCGGCUAUCUGAGAGCGACGUUGGCAUUUUGGUUCCUCAGAUAAAAGACUUGGAAAGGAAGAAUGUAGAACUGGAAGAACAAAACAAAAACUUAACUUCCACGAUAGGUCUAUUAUUUAUGUAGUGUUGUGUUUCUUUCUUAUUUUGCAGUUUAGUAGACUUUUAGUUAUGGGUUAUGAUCAAUUGUGGGGUGUCUAAUUAGUUAGUUUUCUUGAUGUUUCAGCUUGAAACAAAGGAAGCUGGGGGUCACUUUUAGUUUUGGGUUUUUGUCAAUUUUAUUCUGUAAGUUUUGCCCUUUUUCAUCAAUUUUGUAUUGGGUUUUCGAUUGUAAGUGUGGAUCUUAAGUUUUUGGUUUUGCAUAUGUGAGAGCCGCAGGUUUUGGAUUGUAUAUUACAUAUACAUUCAACAAUAUGAAGAUAGAUGAUAAUUUUCUUCUGGUGCAUAUGUUUACUUUUAUAAAGCUCUAAUAUAAGGUUAUAUAAUUUUGUUGUUUAUCUAUUUCUUAUUCAGGAGUAGUUCAUGAUGUUUGACAUGUUCGUUUGUUAAACUUUGAAGGGUUUUGAAGAUAAGCAAACUAUUCAUUUCUAUUUGUACUGAAAUUAUAUGUUUGGUGAUUGAUUGUUGACUGAUACAAGUAUAUUUUUGGACAGAUGAAUGCAGGUUGCUUUGUCAAGGCUUUUGGAUGGAUGGAUGCAGAUGUUUUGGAAGGAUAUUUGUUUUUUUUUUUGUCAUGGGUUGUAAUCAUUAUAAUUUGGAUUUCUUGCUUUAUUAUUUGUGUAUUUUUUUGUGAUGGUUUGCAUUGUGUGAAUUUGUGAUUAAUAGUUGUUUAGAAACU